rnacentral:tRNA from 1 species
CGUAGCUCAGCCUGGUUAGAGCGCCGGACUCAUAAUCCGGAAGUCCCGGGUUCGAAUCCCGGCG